GUCCGUAAAGGUGGAUGAGUGGUGUUUGGUUUGUCACGUGUGGUUGGCUGCGGCGUUUGCAACAACUUCCAUGCUUUCAGACCUCUUCAGUUGUGCGGCAAGGCUUGUAUCGCCUUGUCGUAUUGUGGGUUUUCUGUGUUGUAUACCUAAUCAAUGGUAUCGGUUGGAUUGAUCAAUGUUUCAUUUCGUUUGUCGUCGCAUUCGCGGCGUGAGACGAACCUCGAUGCGGUCUCUUUGGCCCACCUCGUCGAAGCACAUGCUUUGACGUUGUGGCACAUUGAGCAUUGCUUGGUCUCUUGCAUACGGAACAUAUAGUGGGCAUGGAUCUAACGAUUCUUGUUUGCCCUCAUGUUAGCGUAACGCUUCUCUUACACGACUUGCUCCACGUUUUAGCUCGUACGGACGUGGUGCUAUGUCGAAGAGGAAUGCUACC
rnacentral:misc_RNA from 1 species